rnacentral:rRNA from 1 species
AUGGUUAAGUGGGAAACGAUGUGGGAAGGCCCAGACAGCCAGGAUGUUGGCUUAGAAGCAGCCAUCAUUUAAAGAAAGCGUAAUAGCUCACUGGUCGAGUCGGCCUGCGCGGAAGAUGUAACGGGGCUAAACCAUGCACCGAAGCUGCGGCAGCGACACUGUGUGUUGUUGGGUAGGGGAGCGUUCUGUAAGCCUGUGAAGGUGGCCUGUGAGGGUUGCUGGAGGUAUCAGAAGUGCGAAUGCUGACAUAAGUAACGAUAAAGCGGGUGAAAAGCCCGCUCGCCGGAAGACCAAGGGUUCCUGUCCAACGUUAAUCGGGGCAGGGUGAGUCGACCCCUAAGGCGAGGCCGAAAGGCGUAGUCGAUGGGAAACGGGUUAAUAUUCCCGUACUUGGUGUUACUGCGAAGGGGGGACGGAGAAGGCUAUGUUGGCCGGGCGACGGUUGUCCCGGUUUAAGCGUGUAGGUGUGUGUUCCAGGUAAAUCCGGUUCACUUUAACACUGAGGCGUGACGACGAGGCACUACGGUGCUGAAGCAACAAAUGCCCUGCUUCCAGGAAAAGCCUCUAAGCAUCAGGUAACAUCAAAUCGUACCCCAAACCGACACAGGUGGUCAGGUAGAGAAUACCAAGGCGCUUGAGAGAACUCGGGUGAAGGAACUAGGCAAAAUGGUGCCGUAACUUCGGGAGAAGGCACGCUGACACGUAGGUGAAGUGAUUUACUCACGGAGCUGAAGUCAGUCGAAGAUACCAGCUGGCUGCAACUGUUUAUUAAAAACACAGCACUGUGCAAACACGAAAGUGGACGUAUACGGUGUGACGCCUGCCCGGUGCCGGAAGGUUAAUUGAUGGGGUCAGCGCAAGCGAAGCUCCUGAUCGAAGCCCCGGUAAACGGCGGCCGUAACUAUAACGGUCCUAAGGUAGCGAAAUUCCUUGUCGGGUAAGUUCCGACCUGCACGAAUGGCGUAAUGAUGGCCAGGCUGUCUCCACCCGAGACUCAGUGAAAUUGAACUCGCUGUGAAGAUGCAGUGUACCCGCGGCAAGACGGAAAGACCCCGUGAACCUUUACUAUAGCUUGACACUGAACAUUGAGCCUUGAUGUGUAGGAUAGGUGGGAGGCUUUGAAGCGUGGACGCCAGUCUGCGUGGAGCCGACCUUGAAAUACCACCCUUUAAUGUUUGAUGUUCUAACGUGGACCCGUGAUCCGGGUUGCGGACAGUGUCUGGUGGGUAGUUUGACUGGGGCGGUCUCCUCCUAAAGAGUAACGGAGGAGCACGAAGGUUGGCUAAUCCUGGUCGGACAUCAGGAGGUUAGUGCAAUGGCAUAAGCCAGCUUGACUGCGAGCGUGACGGCGCGAGCAGGUGCGAAAGCAGGUCAUAGUGAUCCGGUGGUUCUGAAUGGAAGGGCCAUCGCUCAACGGAUAAAAGGUACUCCGGGGAUAACAGGCUGAUACCGCCCAAGAGUUCAUAUCGACGGCGGUGUUUGGCACCUCGAUGUCGGCUCAUCACAUCCUGGGGCUGAAGUAGGUCCCAAGGGUAUGGCUGUUCGCCAUUUAAAGUGGUACGCGAGCUGGGUUUAGAACGUCGUGAGACAGUUCGGUCCCUAUCUGCCGUGGGCGCUGGAGAACUGAGGGGGGCUGCUCCUAGUACGAGAGGACCGGAGUGGACGCAUCACUGGUGUUCGGGUUGUCAUGCCAAUGGCACUGCCCGGUAGCUAAAUGCGGAAGAGAUAAGUGCUGAAAGCAUCUAAGCACGAAACUUGCCCCGAG